CAAUCUUGAUCCAAGUGAUGGCGCUCGGCCUUCUAAGCCGUAGGUCACACGUUCGAAUCGUGUAGGGCGGGCCA
rnacentral:tRNA from 1 species